UACGAAGGGGGCUAGCGUUACUCGGAAUUACUGGGCGUAAAGGGCGCGUAGGCGGCGCUCCAAGUUAGGCGUGAAAGUCCUGGGCUCAACCUGGGAACUGCGCUUAAGACUGGAGUGCUUGAGGAUGGAAGAGGGUCGUGGAAUUCCCAGUGUAGAGGUGAAAUUCGUAGAUAUUGGGAAGAACACCGGUGGCGAAGGCGGCGACCUGGUCCUUUACUGACGCUGAGGCGCGAAAGCGUGGGGAGCAAACAGG
rnacentral:rRNA from 1 species